rnacentral:lncRNA from 1 species
GGAGCCGGAGCGCCCCAGAACGCCUUUCCCAAAAACGGCUCCAGGGAACUUUUCCUUGUUGGAUCACCCCUGCCCCACGCGGAUCCCACCCCAGGCUGGGAAUUCCCUGAGGCAGCUCAGGAGCUCCCACGGCCACGGAACAGCGGGAACAGCGGGAUUGCCCCGAGAUCCCAACUCCUCCUCCUCCUCCUCCUCCUCCUCCUCCCCAGCUCCGCUGGGAGCAGCCGGAGGGAUGGGAUGGGAAGGGAUGGGAUGGAUCCCUCAGAGGGCUGGGAUGGGAUGGGAUGGGUUGGGAAGGGAUGGGCUGGAUCCUUCAGAGGGAUGGGUUGGGAAGGGCUGGAUCCUUCAGAGGGAUGGGAUGGGAUGGGAUGGAUCCUUCAGAGGGAUGGGAUGGGAUGGGUUGGAUCCUUCAGAGGGAUGGGAUGGGAUGGGUUGGAUCCUUCAGAGGGAUGGGUUGGAUCCCUCAGAGGGAUGGGAUGAAGGCUCCUGGGAUGGGAUGAAGCCUCCUGGGAUGGGAUGGGUUGGGAUGGAUUCCUCAGGGAUGGGAUGGAUCCCACAGAGGGAUGGGAUGAAGGCUCCUGGGAAGGACGGGAUGAAGGCUCCUGGGAUGGGAUGGGAUGAAGGCUCCUGGGAUGGGAUGAAGGCUCCUGGAAGGAUGGGAUGAAGGCUCCUGGGAUGGGAUGGGAUGGAUCCCACAGAGGGAUGGGAUGAAGGCUCCUGGGAUGGGAUGGGAUGGGAGGGAUGAAGGCUCCUGGGAGGGAUGGGAGGGAUGAAGGCUCCUGGGAUGGGAUGGGAGGGAUGAAGGCUCCUGGGAUGGGAUGGGAUGAAGGCUCUGGGAUGGGAUGGAUCCCUCAGAGGGAUGGGAUGAAGGCUCCUGGGAGGGAUGGGAUGGAUCCCUCAGAGGGAUGGGAUGAAGGCUCCUGGGAUGGGAUGAAGGCUCCUGGGAGGGUUGGGAUGGGAUGAAGGCUCCUGGGAUGGGAUGAAGGCUCCUGGAAGGAUGGGAUGAAGGCUCCUGGGAUGGAUCCCUCAGAGGGAUGGGAUGAAGGCUCCUGGGAUGGGAUGAAGGCUCCUGGGAUGGGAUGAAGGCUCCUGGGAGGGCAGCAGCUCCAGCUCUUCCCCAUCCUCCUCUCCCCUCUCUCCAAACCGUUCUCCCCUCAUCAAUCAACCCUUGAAGAGCUGGUUUUUAUCUCCUCUUGCACCAGAUCCAACUCGCCAAAAAUAAUCCAUAAAAAUGCGGUAUAAAAAUCCUCUGCCGUGUGCUACGAUACAG